GACAGAGGGGGCAAGCGUUGCUCGGAAUCACUGGGCGUAAAGGGCGCGUAGGCGGGUCCGCAAGUCGAUCGUGAAAUCCUUCGGCUCAACUGAAGGGGGUCGGUCGAUACUGCGGGUCUUGAGGGAUGCAGAGGAGACUGGAAUUCCCGGUGUAGCGGUGAAAUGUGUAGAGAUCGGGAGGAACACCGGUGGCGAAGGCGGGCUCUGG
rnacentral:rRNA from 1 species